rnacentral:rRNA from 1 species
GUAGGGAAUCUUCCACAAUGGGCGCAAGCCUGAUGGAGCAACACCGCGUGAGUGAAGAAGGGUUUCGGCUCGUAAAGCUCUGUUGUUAAAGAAGAACACGUAUGAGAGUAACUGUUCAUACGUUGACGGUAUUUAACCAGAAAGUCACGGCUAACUACGUGCCAGCAGCCGCGGUAAUACGUAGGUGGCAAGCGUUAUCCGGAUUUAUUGGGCGUAAAGAGAGUGCAGGCGGUUUUCUAAGUCUGAUGUGAAAGCCUUCGGCUUAACCGGAGAAGUGCAUCGGAAACUGGAU